UACAGAGGUCUCAAGCGUUUGUUCGGAUUCAUUGGGCGUAAAGGGUGCGUAGGCGGCGCGGUAAGUCGGGUGUGAAAUCUCGGAGCUUAACUCCGAAACUGCAUUCGAUACUGCCGUGCUUGAGGACUGGAGAGGAGACUGGAAUUUACGGUGUAGCGGUGAAAUGCGUAGAUAUCGUAAGGAAGACCAGUGGCGAAGGCGGGGUCUCUGGACAGUUCCUGACACUGAGGCACGAAGGCCAGGGGAGCAAACGGG
rnacentral:rRNA from 1 species